rnacentral:rRNA from 1 species
CAGCAGCCACGGGAACACGGAGGGUGCAAGCGUUAAUCGGAAUUACUGGCGUAAAGCGCACGCAGGCGGUUUGUUAAGUCAGAUGUGAAAUCCCCGAGCUUAACUUGGGAACUGCAUUUGAAACUGGCAAGCUAGAGUCUUGUAGAGGGGGGUAGAGUUCCAGGUGUAGCGGUGAAAUGCGUAGAGAUCUGGAGGAAUACCGGUGGCGAAGGCGGCCCCCUGAACAAAGACUGACGCUCAGGUGCGAAAGCGUGGGGAGCAAACAGGAUUAGAUACCCGCGUAGUCCCUGUCUCUUAUACC